rnacentral:rRNA from 1 species
UAGCUAGUUGGUGGGGUAAGGGCCUACCAAGGCGACGAUCGGUAGCUGGUCUGAGAGGAUGACCAGCCACACUGGAACUGAGACACGGUCCAGACUCCUACGGGAGGCAGCAGUGGGGAAUAUUGGACAAUGGGGGCAACCCUGAUCCAGCAAUGCCGCGUGUGUGAAGAAGGCCUGAGGGUUGUAAAGCACUUUCAGUGGGGAGGAGGGUUGAUAGGUUAAGAGCUAAUUAACUGGACGUUACCCACAGAAGAAGCACCGGCUAACUCCGUGCCAGCAGCCGCGGUAAUACGGAGGGUGCGAGCGUUAAUCGGAAUUACUGGGCGUAAAGGGUGCGUAGGUGGUUGAUUAAGUUAUCUGUGAAAUUCCUGGGCUUAACCUGGGACGGUCAGAUAAUACUGGUUGACUCGAGUAUGGGAGAGGGUAGUGGAAUUUCCGGUGUAGCGGUGAAAUGCGUAGAGAUCGGAAGGAACACCAGUGGCGAAGGCGGCUACCUGGCCCAAUACUGACACUGAGGCACGAAAGCGUGGGGAGCAAACAGGAUUAGAUACCCUGGUAGUCCACGCUGUAAACGAUGUCAACUAGCUGUUGGUUAUAUGAAAAUAAUUAGUGGCGC